rnacentral:rRNA from 1 species
UACAGAGACUGCGAGCGUUAUUCGGAUUCACUGGGCGUAAAGGGUGCGCAGGCGGCCGAGUGUGUGAGGCGUGAAAGCCCGGGGCUUAACCCCGGAAUUGCACCUCAAACUACACGGCUAGAGCAUUGGAGAGGGUAGCAGAAUUCAUGGUGUAGCAGUGAAAUGCGUAGAUAUCGCUUGGAACGCCAACGGUGAAAACAGGUUGCUGGGGGUGUGCUGACGCUGAGACACGAAAGCCAGGGGAGCGAACGGG